UCGGGAAUAUUGCGCAAUGGAGGAAACUCUGACGCAGUGACGCCGCGUAUAGGAAGAAGGUUUUCGGAUUGUAAACUAUUGUCGUUAGGGAAGAAAAAAUGACAGUACCUAAGGAGGAAGCUCCGGCUAACUACGUGCCAGCAGCCGCGGUAAUACGUAGGGAGCGAGCGUUAUCCGGAUUUAUUGGGUGUAAAGGGUGCGUAGACGGGUAUGCAAGUUGGUUGUGAAAUCCCUCGGCUUAACUGAGGAACUGCAACCAAAACUGUAUAUCUUGAGUACUGGAGAGGAAAGUGGAAUUCCUAGUGUAGCGGUGAAAUGCGUAGAUAUUAGGAGGAACACCAGUGGCGAAGGCGACUUUCUGGACAGUAACUGACGUUGAGGCACGAAAGUGUGGGGAGCAAACAGGAUUAGAUACC
rnacentral:rRNA from 1 species